UGAAAAUUUAAAUUCUGUGACCAAAAUGCAUUGUACUUAAAGAUUUGGGUAUUACGUGUAAAGAUUUGGAACAGCACUUAAGAAAUGAUGAUGUGGCGGACAUUUUUGAGGGAGACAGGCGAGAAAAAAUCAAAUUCCAAAGAAAUUUGGAUGAUUACCGCAAAAGCUUGAAUACCCUGACAGGUAAUUGUUCCGGUUGUUGUCAUUGUUUGAAUCGUCACCCACAAAACGCACUCCAAACGACGAACAGUCCAGCACAAGAAACAAACAACACCGAUGAGAAAGUAUCCGCCAUUUUGUCGACAACAGUCGUUGGUAAAGGACUCUUAAGGAAAGGGACAGAUAA